UUCUUGCCUUCAAGACUUGAUUGUUGGUGAAACAUUGAUAAGUGGAGAAGAUGUUGGUGGAUUGAAGAAACUGGAAAUUCUUAAAGGGAGGUUUUACGAGUUGCACAACUUAAAUGCGUAUGUCCAAGCUUUACAUGGUCGAGAAGAACCUUUUGAAUACAUCAUCCGCGUGGGUGAGAGAGGAUGGGUGGAGCAAAUUAAUACAAGAAAGUACAUUGAGUUAUGUGGUUGUAAUAUCUAUACCAAUCAGAUUAUACUUCCGCAUGUUGAGGAGUUAUACAUUAAGGAGUGCAAUCUCAAUUGUAGCGAAGGGUAUCCUCUUUUCUCCAGGUUUAUUCUAAUCUCACUUAGCACAUUCUCCUCUCUUAAAUUUCUUGAUAUAUAUAAUUGUAAAAGCAUGAAAAAAUUGUUCUCUCCAAAUUGCUUGCCACUAAAUUUACAAGAGCUUAGCGUAUCAGAGUGUAACAAGCUAGAGGAAAUAAUAGCAAUAGAACUUGGAUGGAAUCAAAGUGGAAAGGCUACCAUGGAGUUUCAUCUACCACAAUUAAGGUUAUUUUCACUAGGGAAUCUACCAAAAUUGAAGAGCAUUUGCAGUGCUAAUGGAGUAAUCGUUUGUGAUUCACUUGAAAUAAUUGAGGUAAGAAAUUGUCCGAAAUUAAAAAGGAUGCCUCUUAAUCUUUCCCAACUUGAUAAUAUUAGACUUCAACCAUCUGGCCCUCUCUCUCCUCUUAUUUGGAUAAAGCUAGAAGAGUGGUGGGAAUCAGUGGAAUGGGAUCAGCCGAAUGUCAAAUGUAUUUUAGAGCCCUUGUUGAGGUCUUGCUGGUAGUGUUGAAUUUACAUUAACUCCAAUGAUUUUUUUUUCAACAACUUCUAAUUGCUAUUUGUAUUCUAAAUUUUGUACAAGUGGAAUAGAAAUUCCUCACUCUGGAAUUGUGGAAAAACCAACUGAAACUUUUACCUGUUCAAAGUCGAAACAUGGUUAUAAUAUCUUUCAUGAAAACUAUUACGUGAAUUCAUGUUUCAAGUGGUGGAGCUUUAUAUAAAUUUAUGUUAUGGCAAAAAUAAGAAGAUAGGAGUGAGCCGUCCAAGAAUAUUCAAGAAAAUAACUCGAAAAACACCAUUGGAGCGACUUUAAAGCAUAUUUCCAUCAAGAUUGAAGAUUCCCAAUUGAUUUCUUAGGAAGUUAUGAUGGGUUUCUUUAGUUCUUUUGUUAUACUGUAUCUUGGAUGUUUUUACUUUUAAUUAUGAUCUAAUUUCUAAAUACUUAGGGGAGAUGAACCCUAUGAAGGAUUCUGUCGUUUGAUUUUUAUUUUAUGCAAUAAAUACUUAGUUUCUUGUUCUCAAUUAUGUGCGCAUAAUUCUUGGUUUAAUAUUUUUUAGAUUAUUAAUCCAUGUUUGAUGUGCUUAAAUCGGAGGUUGAAUAGACCUUGUUUAAGAAUAGAUCUCGUGUAAUUGAGUGGAGUUGCAUGCAAUUAUAGAAAUAGGACGACAAAAAUAUAACAGAUUAGAGUCAAAUCUAAUAGGGGAAUUCAUAUAGCACGAGUUAAUACGAUAAUAGGGGUUUUAAUUAGAAAUUUUUUUCAAUUAAUCAACCUAGAGUCAGUUACUUUUUCACUAUUAGCAUAAUUCAAGGGUUUUCAUGUAUGAAGGAGUUAAGUAAACAAAUUGCAAAAUUUAGAUUGAUAAUGAUAGAUGAAAUCAUUGCGAAUUCUUUUCUAGGUAUUAUUUUGCUUUUUGGUUGUUAAUCGAUUAUUUUCCUAAUUUAUUCUUUGUCGUGUUAGUUAGUUAAUUAAUUUAGUUAAUUUUAGUUUCAAUCACUCAAAUUAUUCGGUUAAAUAAUAAAAAGAUGGUAAUUACUGGUAUUUUUAGUCUUUAUGGGAACGAUAUCUUUGCUCACUGUAGCUAUACUAUUAGUUGAUAGGUGCAUUUUCUUUAAUCAAAUUUUUAGUUAGUUCCGUGACACAUCAUCUAGUUACGACCGAUUGAAUGAUCAAAGAAUAAAAAAUUGUUUCUAUAGUUACACAUCGUAUCGUGAAGAUUCAGGGAUCCUAAAGGAAUAAUUGAUAAGGAAUUGGAUUGGAAAAUGACUAAUAGAGGAUAUAGGUAGCAUGGAAGCACACUUUGACAAAGGCCAAGCUAUCCUCAGAACACUAGUAGAUAGUUGCUUGUUAGAAAAUGUAGGAAAUGAAAGAGUGAAAAUGCAUUAUCUUGUUAGAGAUAUGGCUAAACUUAUCACCCAUAAGUUGUAUGAAUCACGAACUAGCAUUGCAACUUUUACACAUGUAUUGUUACACUCCAACAUUUAUAUUUUUGAUCAAUUAAAAUCAUUCAAUAAAAAACAACCAAUCAAAACUUACAAUAAUUCAAAUUUAAUAAAAAUAAAACCCAAAAUUAACUUUGUUGAUACAGAAAUACAACAAAAUAAUUCAAAUUUAAUAAAAAUAAAACCCAAAAUUAACUUUGUUGAUACAGAAAUACAACAAAGAGAAGAUAUGGGAAAUGACAUGGUGGUGAUUUUGGAGGUUGAUUCACCCAGUUGAGAGCGGAGAGCUAGGGACUACAGAGAGUGAGAUUGAAGAGAGUAUGUAGGCAAAGUGUUGAGGGUAAGUUGACAGAGUAUAUGUUUGUAUGUUUGGAGAGUCAAUCAUUUCUUCAUCGUUCUUGAGGGUAUUUAUUGGAGGGGGUCUUGUGAAGGUAUUGUUAACGUGCUAAAUUUGCCAUCUAACCAUCAUUACGGAACGUGUGGGGAGGAUGCCUCUGAUGAGACAGAUCUUGUUAUUCAUUAUAAUACGACAGUGCAGAGUAGUUGAGCUCACGGGAUUUGGAAACCAACAAUAUCAAGUUUUUACCAAAAGGUGAAGAGUUCAAAGUAAUGAGUAGUUUUAAAACAAAAAAGCCUAUGAAAUAUUGAAACCUACGCAACAACCCUUUGAAAUAUAAUAAAAAGCCAAAACAAAAACAGAUUAAAAUGGUAAAAGGCUAAUCCAUCGCAACUUCUUUCUCUCUACCUGCUUUUAAAAUUCUUAAACACAGUUACGAAAACUGUCUUUAAUUAUAUAUGGUCGGUGCCCACCGAAGUUGACUUAAAGGAGUUGAUAUAUAGGAUUGAUAAAUCAGUUUUUAUAAUAUUACCAUUCAUUUUAUUAUUAACAAUUAAGAAGAUACUUUUAAUAAUUAUUGUUUAUAUAUUUUUAUAUUAGACAUAUUGAUAAUUUAUUUUUUAUUUUACAAACAACCUUAAAAAAUUAAUAUAUUUUUAUUUUUUAAAUAUUUUAACAACAGUGUAACCAAUAAUUUCAUUACAUUUAAAUAAAAAUAUCUUUUCCCCAUCAUUGAAAGCUUCAAUCAAGGCUUCGGCUUAGUUUGGAUGGGCGGUGUGUUUACCUUCGGUGAGGUUAAAAAUAGCAGUGGCGGUGAGAUUAGUUACUGUAGCGGUGACAAUGGAUACUGUAGCAGUGAGAUUAGAAACAAUGGUGGAGUGUGUGUUUGGAUUCAAACACAGCUGUAGCGGUGAGGUGAGAAUAAAAAAUAGCUAUUAAGGACAUCAGAUUAGAAUUGAUAUAUAAUAGAAGUUUUUAAAUUAUUUUACUUUUAUAAAAUUAUUAAAAUAUAUGAAUUUAUAAAUUAAUUUAAUAAAAUAUUAAAAUGUAUCUUUCAAUAUUUUAUUAUAAAUAUUUUAAUAAAUUAUAUAAUCAAUUUAAAUUAUUUAAUAGAUAAAAUGAUAAUUAUUUUUAAUUUUUAUAGCUAAAUAUUCUUUUAUAACAAUAAUAAAUAUUAUUUUCACAAAUAGUGACAUUAUACUUGGAUCAAAUUUUGAAGUAUCUAAACGGAUGAUUUUUAAUAAAAAAAAAUAUAGUAACAUAAGACAUAACAAGUUUCAUUAUUACUAGAAAUUAGAUUAUGAUACAAAAUGUUUUUAUAAAUAUGGAUUCAUUAAACUAUAAUAUAAAUGCACUCCAAACUUAAUAGUCAUAGUUGUUCUUUUGAAUGAAAUUGAUGAACACUUUAACAGCAGGAGAGGUCUCGAUGAAACCCUUGAAAAAACCAUUAAAUUAAUUUUUUUUACCAUGGUACUUAAACUUUUCUUUUAACCUAAGUUGAUACAUAAAAUUAUAUUUCUCUUAACCAAUUCAGUCCACCAAAAUUAGAGUAUACCAUGUGACACUUAGAAAACUUCACGUGACAUUCAUAAGUACUAAAAGAAAAAAAAUAGAUUUAUAAAUUCUAAAAAUAAAUUAAAAAUUUUAAAUUUAAAAAUAAUUUAUCAAAUAAAAAUCUAAUUAAAAAUUUUAGUAAGCUAUCAUUUUAUUUUGACUCAACAUUGAUUAUCGCUGUCCUAAUAGUAUUUUCAAGUUUUAUAUUAUUUUUAGUUUUCAAAAUUUAACUAUUUUUUUAAUUCUAAAAUUUUGAUUAUAUUUUUUUGGUUUUUUUUAAACAAAUAUUUAAACUAUAUAUAUAAGCUCUAGAAAGUUGAAAUAAUUUAAAAAAUAUUUGUUUCAAAAAGCCAAAAAACAGUAUAAUAAUUUUUUAAAAAAAUUGGAAAAAUAGUUAAAUUAUGAUAACUAAAAAGAAUAUAAAAGUUUUUAGAAAAUUUUUAAAAAUUUAAAAAUAUUUUUCACACAAUAUAUAUAAAUUUUAAAAUAAUUUUCUAAUAUAAAACUUGAAAAUACUAUUAAGUCAAAAUCGAUCAAUCCCGGUCAAUUUCAUUUCAAAGUCAAAUGCUAAUUUUCUAAAAUUUCUAUUUUGUAAAUUAUUUUUAUAAUUUUUAUUUAUUAUUAAACUUUUUUAGAAUUUAGAAAUUUAGUUUUAUUUUUAAUACAUAUAGAUGUCAUGUAACACUUUCUAAUUGGAUUAAAGUGCCAUGUGACACAAUUUAAUUUGGCCACAUUUCAAUAAUUUUUUUAACAGUGGUGGACUGAAUUAGUUAACAAAAUGUAACUUAAGGAAUCAAUUUGGGCCAAAAAAAAAUUCAGGUACUAAUAUGAGAAAAAUGAUAUACUUUAGGAGACAAAUGAUGCUUUAAGCCAGAAAAUUAAAAGAAAAGAAACCCUCCAAAAUUAAAAUAACAUGAACCUUUGUAUUAGGGGUUAGAUUACAUUUUGUCCUCUCAACUCAAAAAUAGACAAAUUAGUUGCUAUAUGUUAGAUUAGUGAAUAAAUUGGACAUUUUGUUAAAUUUUACAUCAAUUUCUAUUGAUAAAAACUAGUUCUUGUACAUCAUUAUGAGAUACAUAUAACACACCACAUGUAAUUGUUUAGUUAUUACAUUAACCCUGUCAAUUUUUAACAUAUAUAUCACAGUAUAGUACCCGAACUUGACAACUUGUAUCUACUUGACACCUUUUUUUUUUAACCUAAUUAGUUCAUGAACUUGAAAACUGCAAAUUAACUUAUUUUUUUAGAUACUUGACAAUAUUGCCAAAUUUAUCAUCUUCAAUCAAUUAGAUUAUGCCAAGUAUAUUAUGUCACGUGUACCAAAAAUAAUUUAAUUUAAAAAAUUUUUAAUUGUCAUUAAUUAAAAUAAAAAAAACUUCUACUUAAUUAACUGAUAUUUUAUGUCUACUUCCGUUUCUUCUUCUUCUUCUCUAAGUUUCAACCAAAUCUCUAAGUCCGCCCUCGUUCUCUGCGCCAACAUUGCUGGCUCUCAGUUUAGGUAGUUUGAAUCAAGGGACUCUCUUCUCCCCUUUUAUUUUUUUUCUUUUUAUUGAUUAUUGGCUAUAGGUUUAUUGAGUCUUUGGUUGAGUGGUGGGCGACGAGUUUGAGGCUUGUUUUAGGAGGGGUCAGGUGAGUCAGGGUCGACAAUUGUGCAUGUCACAACUGUAUUUUAUUCGGAUUACGCUCAAUUCGAAUUACGUGUUUUUUUUAAAUUUCUUAGUUAUUAAUUAUUAUUUAUGGGGGACGGUUUUACAAAGGGAAGUUGAGUAAGAGAAGAAGGGGGAUUCUCUCUAAAAGAGAAGUCUAAAGACAAUAGCUCCAUUUCUUUCACCUCCAUUGAGUCUCAUACUCUAAAACACUAAUUACUUACAUCCUAUACCAUCAAAACCCCACACAUUUCCUCAACCUUGACCGUUAACCCAUCCCUGGGUUUGAAGCAGUGAAAGCAUUCAACUUUGGUUACUGGACAGUGAUGAUUCCAAUCCAAGGAAGACCGGUUUCCAUCAUAUUUGUGACCAAACAAAGAGUCUGCAACUUUAUUAAGGAGAAGAAAACGAAAAAUUGAAGAGGCCCUCCUUGACUCGUGAUAUUCAAAUCUCAAAGUACCAUUAGUCCCAUUGGCAUUAUUUUCAUCCUUUACUUUCACCAUCAUCUUAUUAUCAUCAUCAUUUUAUAUGUUGUUGAAUGUCAUUCUGAUGUUGAAAUUAUGGAAAAUUUACGUGUGUCAUGUGGUAUAUAUAUUUCGACUAUUUUGGUCCAAACAUUUUUUUAAAUAUUUAUAUUAUUUCAAUAGUUAAAGUUGAAAAUUUUUAAAUGAUUUAAAAGUUAUAGCACUCAAGAGUUUUUACUAUUUAUAAUGAUGAGUUAUAUUUUUUAUUGUUAAAAGUUAUAUUUAUAUAAAUAUGAAUAAUUAUAUUUAAAGACACGAAAACUCUUAUGAUUCAUUUGUUUAAUAGACUAAAGUAAGAAACAAAAAUUCCUUUUGAUUCUCUUCCAUCUUUUACUAUUUUUAAAUUGUUGUAUAAAAAUUUAUUGUAAAAAUUUGUUAUAGAAAUCAUGCAUAAAAUAAUAAAAUCAUACACGCACUAACACUUAUCAAAUUAACUUGUAUCAUUAUCACUGACGUUUAGCACAAACCUGCUUAAAAUCAUGCUUUUUCUUCCUCAAGUGUAUUUGUAAAAUAUUUUUAUAAAAUAAUAAGAUAUCCUUUGACACGAUAUUAAUAUUGGAAGUCAUUGUUGGGAUUCCGCAAAAACUUUCAAUAAUUAUUCAUUGUGAAAGAAAAUAAAAUUUUUAAAAUCUAUUUAAGAAUGAUUGUCGAAUUCAAUUUGAUCUACUAUAGUUAACUCAUAAAAAUAACUCAAAUUUAAUAGAAAAAAUUCCCAAAAUAAACUUAAUUUCUUGAAAUGUAAAUUAAUCUAAUCCAAAUCAAAUGAGGUAAUUAUGGCAUAGCAAAUGUCAACAUUAUCAUGAUACAUCAAAUAGAAAAAGACAAUAGCACUUAACCCAACUUAAUAAAAUUACGAAAAUUGUAGCUAGGUGAAUUUUGAUUAAGUGAAUGCAGGGAGAGAAAUUCCAUUUGAGUUGAGUGUCAUUUCUAGUAGUGUGUGAAAUCGUAUUAUUUGCAACUUGUAAGUAAGGUGGUUUAUUUCAUCUCCUAACAAGUUAAUUCAAAGAAGUAUUUAUUAAAUUUCACAUUUUUAUUGUUGUUUCAAAUUAGCUCAUAAUUAUGCUGGUAUAGUUUUGGGGUGACUGUCUAUUUUUAUCCAUAUAUAUAAACCUCAAACAUGGGUUCUGAAAUUAGUUCACAUAUUUUUAAGGUCCUAUUAGGCACAUAAAUCUGUAGAAGAGUAAAAGAAGAAAAACUAAACUUAUCCAAAGGUUGGGUAAUUCGUUCGGUAGGUUUAACUUAACUUGGAUUGAAUUUAAACAAAGAUUUUUGUACUAAAUCAACUCACAACUUUUAAAAUUCUAAUUAACUUAAAUAUUUUGGCACUAGUACCGCUAUAAUUGGAUGAAGGAUAUUUGCAAUAUUAUCACAUUAUGUACCUACAAAUAUAUGAUUCUAGUAAGAACGUUAACUUUGUCAACUCCGGGGUGGUUAAGUUAGAAAUAUAUAAUAAUAAAAUCAAUAGAAAUGCCAGCAAAAUGUCAAGCAACCCCAUUUUGAAAGUUUGAAAUUUAAUUUCCAACUAGAUAUUAAUAUCUAGGAUUUGCUUCUUCAAUUACAAGACCAUCACUAGUUUUUCUUUAAGUCACAUAGUUGUAUUUCUUUCCUGAUUCCAGUUCUUGAUUCGGUAUAUCUUUGCUAUAUAUUGUAUAUUUAUGAUAUCGCACCCACUUCUAUAGCUUAUUUCUGCAGUGUUGAUUUUAUAUUCAAAGCCAAUCAAUUCUUGGGCUCCGGUAUGUUUCACUUCAGCCUUUACUAAUAGGGAUUGGUAAUUUGAAGAUAGAAUUCAGAAUGAGUGCACGAUAUUGAAAUUAUUUGAUACAAGUAUUUUUAAUUUUCUUUAAAUAUGUUCAUCUAUAAUUUACAGUAUAGAAAAGAGAUUGCCAUUUUACUUGUGAGUGAAAGGCCUUUUAAUUAUGCUCCUCUAUUAUUGCUUUCAUUUCAUUAAACGUUAGAUGAGAGCUUUUCUUGAUUUACAUGUCUCUAUAGAACCCACAUAUUUAAUAUCUUGUUAAAAAAUUUGUGGAAUCCAUGUAUGCACAGAAAUUUAGACUUGACAAUGCAUUCUUAGUUUCUAAUAUAUUGCAUGUUAUGCAGCAUUCCUGACUGAGAGCUAUGGAUUAUUUUUUGAAUAAGAUUGAUAAACACUUGGACAAUCACAGAAACCUCGAUCAGAAUAUGAAUGAGCUUAAAAGGAAAUUAAAUGAUUUGAACGGUCUGAAGGAAGACAUAGAAUCUAGAGUGAGCUCAGAGCUGCAGCCAACAAAGAAACUCAAGAAAGGGGUCCAAAUAUGGUUGGAAAAUGUUGAAAGAAUCAAUGGUGAAAUACAAAGCCUUGAUGGAAGAAUCGGAGAAAGCAGUGCUCUUACACGCGGUUUCCACGCAGAAGAUGUGUUAAUGAGGAUGAAGGAAGUUGAAGAACAUAUUCAACAAGGCAAAUUUUGUGAAGGUUUGGUGGUUGACAAUCCUCGACGGAUUGGACAAGUUUUAUCGACUUCAACUCUAUCAGGUGAAGCUACGAAGUUAUGCAUCGAAGAAAUUUCGCAGUGCUUGAUGAAUGAUGAGGUUCGAAAAAUUGGAGUUUGGGGGAUGGGGGGAGUAGGGAAAACAAGCAUUAUGAAGCAUAUAAACAAUCAGCUCUUGAAAGAGACCCACAAGUUCGAUGUUGUGAUUUGGAUCACUGUAUCAAAGGAGAUGAGUCUUGCUAAACUGCAGAAAGACCUUGCAAGUAAACUUGAUGUAAAAUUUUCUGGCAAUGAAUGUGAAACAACAAGGGCAGGGAUGUUGUUUGAAACAUUGUCUUUCAAGUUCAGUAGGUUUGUGAUGAUCUUGGACGAUGUAUGGGAGAAGGUUUCCCUUGAGAAGGUAGGAAUCCCUGAGUCAUCUAAUGGUAGUAAAUUAGUGUUAACAACGCGAUCACUUGAUGUGUGUCGACAUGUGGGUUGUAAUAGAGUAAUUCAAAUAAAGCCUCUUGCGGAAGAGGAGGCAUGGAACUUGUUCUUGGAGAUUGUAGGUGGGAAUAUUCUAAAUAUUCCAGGAUUGGAACCAGUUGCAAAAUCAAUAACUAAGCAUUGUGCGGGUUUGCCCUUGGGAGUAAUUGUUGUAGCUGCUUGUAUGAAGGGACUUGAUGACCUUUUUGAAUGGAGGAAUGCGCUAAAGGAACUAAGUUUAGCAAGACAAAGUGUUAAUGGAUUGGAAGAUGAGGUGAUCCAACAAUUGCGAUUUAGUUAUGAUCGUUUAAAGGAUCAAAAACUUCAACACUGUUUCCUCAACUGUGCCUUAUAUCCUGCAGGUUUUGCUAUCAGAGAGAUAGAUCUUGUUCAUCUUUGGAUUGCAGAAGGGCUUGUCGAAGAAAUGAACAGUAGGCAAGCAGAGUAUGACAUGGGUUGUGCAAUAAUGAAUAGACUCAUAAACAACUGUUUGUUAGAAGUUCCUACGGGGACGGAAACAGAAAAUGGAAGAUGUGUAAAGAUGCAUGAUCUUGUAAGGGACAUGGCAUUACAUAUCACAGGUGGAAAACCUCGAUUCUUGAUAAAAGCUGGCAUGAGAUUAACGGAGCCACCAGAUUUGCAAGAUUGGAGAAAGGACCUAGAAAAAGUUUCAUUGAUGGAGAAUUGGGGGUUACAGCUUCCCUAUCCUUUGGAAAUAUCGCCACCAAAGUGUCCGAUGCUCACAACACUAUUGUUUUCUGGUUGUAAUAUACAAAGCAUUCCAGAAGGCUUCUUCAAGCAUAUGCACGGACUCAAGAUUCUUGAUCUUUCUGCAAAUCCUAUCAAGAAUCUCCCAGAUUCCAUUGCUAAUUUGAAGAACCUCACUGCGCUAUUGCUUCGUCAUUGUCGAAGUUUAGAGAAGGUGCCAUCAUUGUCAAAACUUAAAGUCUUGAAGGAGUUGAAUCUUGAAGCAACAAGUAUCAAGGAAAUCCCUUGUGGGAUGAAAAACUUGUGGAAACUCAAUUACCUGAAUUUGAAUGGUAUAGGAGACCUACAUGAGAUUCCUGAUCGAGCAUUAUCAAAACUUUCUUGCCUUCAAGACUUGAUUGUUGGUGAAACAUUGAUAAGUGGAGAAGAUGUUGGUGGAUUGAAGAAACUGGAAAUUCUUAAAGGGAGGUUUUACGACUUACACAACUUAAAUGCGUACGUCCAAGCUUUACAUGGUCGAGAAGAACCUCUUGAAUACAUCAUCCGCGUGGGUGAGAGAGGAUGGGUGGAGCAAAUUAAUACAAGAAAGUACAUUGAGUUAUGUGGUUGUAAUAUCUAUACCAAUCAGAUU
rnacentral:lncRNA from 1 species